AGGGGCUGAUCCUCAAAUUAGUCUAUUAAAGUUACUGAUGACAGUCCUCAUCUCAGAGCCUCCGUUUUGGGGACCACAGCUUGCAACUUUGGAGGUCCUGCCAAGAUGACUCAACUCAUGAAAACCUACCAGAAUGAAGGGAGAACAGUCCUGAGUUGAGUAAUACCUCACUAAGAAUGAUAUUGAAAACUUGGAGAGGGAGUUUGGAGCCAGAGUGUUGGAUGUCUCCGUGGUUUGGGCAGUUACAGUGAAUGUCACCAUCCUCGUUCCUCCUGUACGUUCCUGGAAAAGUCAUUUGGUGCUGGAAAGAAGUCAUAGGACUGGAGGAGAGCGAGCCGUUAUAGAGGCAGCACUUACCCCGAACGGUGAGAGUGACCCCAUCGAGCUCCUUCCCCGGAAACUACGCUCAACACCUCAGCAACAAGCCGCCAGAGCUUUGGACCAGUCCUUACCAGUGGUGUGGAUGGGACACGACGCACGCAGGCUCAUCGCGGUGGCACAGAGCCAUGUGCCGUCAAGUUCAGAGCCAGCAUGGGGCAGAGUCGCCACAUGGAAAUGGCAAGGCCCCAGAGCUGGAGCCACCUACGGCCUGGGAUUGAGCCUCCACGGAGGGUUAUCAGCACUGGAGUCACGGGUAAGUCUAGUUAUCAUCUCCCUGAGGCUCAUUCAGGGGUCUUGAAUUCUGCCCUGAGUUUGAAAAACUAAUUAUUUUCUUCUCCUCCCUUUUCCUGUCGGGCAAAAGUGGGUGACUAUAGAGCCACUCAUUGACUGUUUCUGACAAGGGCCUGUCGCCGUAGCUGCACAACCCAACUAAAUCUAGAAUUGAAUUUGUAGAGUCUCAAUUUCCAGCGGAUUCUUCUUCCGAUGGAGCAUUUCCCCCUAUCUGCUACCAGUAAACACCACCCCCCCACCCCCCUCUCCAUCCCUUGUGGAACUGGCAUGUAAAAGAAUAACAACUAAGCUUUGUUUUUAUUUACGUUAACUCUUCUUUAUUUUCCUGAGUAUUCAUAAACCUGAUAAAUACUUGAAAUUGUCAAUAUUGAUUCAGAAUCUGAAUAGAGUAUAUGUUAUAUUUCAAUAUGUACUUUAAGAAUGUGUUAAUAUUUAAGAACCCAAACCUUCAGAUUAUACCUCAAUUUGGCAGAAGUAGUACUAUUCUGUCUCAAUAUUUGGAAUGAAUUUAACAUAACAUUUUUUUUCCCUCUCUACAGCCAGUUUUGGCAGCAAAGAAUUGAAUUUCAUAUCAAGACAUAGUACAAAAAUAGAGAAGGGGAUUUGUAAAUACUAAUUAUUCAAAUCCAAAUCCAUACAUUCCUAUUUUUCUUACUGAGCUUAAUACUGUCAACAUUCAGGCAAAUUGGUUCCUUUCUCAACAUUUUUUUUUUCAGGAGCAUAUUGUGUUAGAUUACAGGAAAAAUGAGAAAUCCAGUAACAAUAAGAAUAAACUACUGAAAUGAGACAAAAGUGGCUGUUUGAGGAGGAGAACCAUUUCAAUAGUUCAUACAUUUUCAACCAAAAAAAAAAAAAAGCAAAAACAAACCAUGCUGUUCCAUUUUUAGACCUUCAGCACUUUCUUUUCCAAGGCUGUAGAACCUUAGUAACAUACCAAUUUCUAGUUACUGGCCACUGAUCUAUGAUUCAAGAAACAAAAAUUAGGGUUGAAUGCAUGCUGAUUUUGACUUUGUGAGGAAGAGUCCAGAAUUUACCUACCCUGUGGCCUUUUGCAUUUUCUAAAGUAAACACAGAGAAAGUAAUGCUUGAGUAAAGAUAUUAUUCUUAAGUUUCAAAUCUUGGCACAGCCCACUGAGAAGACCUUGCUGUAAUUUACCCAAAUCAUACUGCACACUCCACCUAUAAGGUUGACUGUAGCCAUUUUCUCAGGUAAACAACAGAAAUGCACACCCCUGCUCAUGCCCUCUGUGUUGCAAAAUCACUCUUAUUAAAUAUUGAGCGGAUGUGGAAGAAUGUUUAUAAAAUAUGUAUAAGGUCGAACAGUAAUACAAGGAAUACCCAUGUAGCCCCUUCAACCAGUUUCAGAACAAGGGUGAUUGAUAUCUAUGAGACCCUCUGUGACAAACGUCGUGAUCUCAACUCCAUCGCCUCCCUCUUCGAAGGCAACUUCUUCAUUUUUCUUUAGUUUUUUAAAAUUUUAAUGUUUAUUUAUCGUAGAAAGAGAGA